rnacentral:RNase_P_RNA from 1 species
AAGGGUGCCUGUGAGGAAAGUCCGAGCUCCACAGGGCAGGAUGCUGGAUAACGUCCAGUAAGGGUGACCUUCAGGAAAGUGCAGCAGAAAGAUACCGCCAGAACCUAUCGUUUUGGUAAGGGUGAAAAGGCGAGGUAAGAGCUCACCGCUUUUCUGGUGACAGAAAAGGCUCUGCAAACCCCAUCCGGAGCAAGACCGAACAGAAAACGACACGGCGGCCCGUCGUGUUUUCGGGUAGGUCGCGUGAGACAGGCGGCAACGUCUGCCCAAGAUAGAUGAUCGUCCACGACAGAACUCGGCUUACAGGGAAACUC